GAGUUUGAUCCUGGCUCAGAUUGAACGCUGGCGGCAUGCCUUACACAUGCAAGUCGAACGGCAGCACGGGAGCUUGCUCCUGGUGGCGAGUGGCGAACGGGUGAGUAAUGCAUCGGAACGUAUCCUGGAGUGGGGGAUAACGUAGCGAAAGUUACGCUAAUACCGCAUAUUCUGUGAGCAGGAAAGCGGGGGACCUUCGGGCCUCGCGCUCUUGGAGCGGCCGAUGUCGGAUUAGCUAGUUGGUGAGGUAAAGGCUCACCAAGGCGACGAUCCGUAGCAGGUCUGAGAGGAUGAUCUGCCACACUGGAACUGAGACACGGUCCAGACUCCUACGGGAGGCAGCAGUGGGAUUUGGACAAGUGGGGCAACCCUGAUCCAGCCAUGCCGCGUGAGUGAAGAAGGCCU
rnacentral:rRNA from 1 species